AGAGUUUGAUCCUGGCUCAGGAUGAACGCUGGCGGCGUGCUUGAUGCAUGCAAGUCGAACGAAUCGGCAAUUAGCGGAAUCUCGCUUGAGACAGGGAUGGGGAGAAAUCUUCGGAACUGUGGAUAGUGAUAGGAAACUCUGCGCCGGUUAGUGGCGGAUGGGUGAGUAACACGUGGGUGACCUGCCCCGAAGUGGGGAAUAACUACCCGAAAGGGUGGCUAAUUCCGCAUGUGGUCUAUCAUUCGUUUGAUGGAUUAAAGACUUCGGUUGCUUCGGGAGGGGCUCGCGGCCGAUUAGCUAGUUGGUGGGGUAACGGCUUACCAAGGCGACGAUCGGUAGCUGGUCUGAGAGGACGAUCAGCCACACUGGCACUGACAUACGGGCCAGACUCCUACGGGAGGCAGCAGCAAGGAAUAUUAGACAAUGGGCGAAAGCCUGAUCUAGCAACGCCGCGUGGGCGAUGAAGGCCUUCGGGUUGUAAAGCCCUUUUCUGCGGGAAGAGCGAAGGACGGUACCGCAGGAAUAAGUCUCGGCUAACUACGUGCCAGCAGCAGCGGUAAUACGUAGGAGACGAGCGUUAUCCGGAUUUACUGGGUGUAAAGCGCAUGUAGGCGGGUUCCCAAGUCGAGCAUGAAAUCUCCCGGCUUAACCGGGAGGAGCGGUUCGAUACUAGGAGCCUUGAGGGCAGGAGAGGGAAGCAGAAUUCCCGGUGUAGUGGUGGAAUACGUAGAUAUCGGGAGGAAUACCAGUGGCGAAAGCGGCUUCCUGGCCUGCUCCUAACGCUGAGAUGCGAAAGCGUGGGUAGCAAACGGGAUUAGAUACCCCGGUAGUCCACGCUGUAAACGAUGGAUACUAGGUGUUGGUGGCCCUUUACCCCACCAGUGCCGAAGCUAACGCGAUAAGUAUCCCACCUGGGGACUACGGUCGCAAGACUAAAACUCAAAGGAAUUGACGGGGGCCCGCACAAGCAGCGGAGCGUGUGGUUCAAUUCGAUGAUACACGAAGAACCUUACCUGGGUUUGACAUGCUAGUGGUAGUGACGCGAAAGCCGAACGACCCUUCGGGGAGCUAGCACAGGUGCUGCAUGGUUGUCGUCAGCUCGUGCCGUGAGGUGUUAGGUUAAGUCCUGCAACGAGCGCAACCCUUCUCGUUAGUUAUACUUUUCUAGCGAUACCGCCGGGGUAACUCGGAGGAAGGUGAGGAUGACGUCAAAUCAGCAUGGCCUUUAUAUCCAGGGCUACACACACGCCACAAUGGCCGACACAAUGGGUUGCCAAACCGCGAGGUGGAGCCAAUCCCCCAAAGUCGGUCUCAGUUCGGAUUGGAGGCUGCAACUCGCCUCCAUGAAGCUGGAGUUGCUAGUAACCGCCGGUCAGCUAUACGGCGGUGAAUACGUUCCCGGGCCUUGUACACACCGCCCGUCACGUCAUGGAAGCCGGUAACACCUGAAGCCGGUGGGCUAACCGCAAGGAGGCAGCCGUCGAAGGUGGGACUGGUGACUGGGACGAAGUCGUAACAAGGUA
rnacentral:rRNA from 1 species